rnacentral:lncRNA from 1 species
AUGUGACAUAGUAAUGUUGAAAUAUCUACAUAGCCUUGAUAAGAGGCUUAUAGCACAUCAUAUGGUGGUUACGAUCAUUGAGUAUGAGAUUGUGUAACCUAUUGACAUCGAUUUUCAUUUAUGAGCAUUUUCAUAUGCAUGCACGACAUGUAACAUGGUUGAAAAUACUGCAUGCAAAAUAUGAUUUCAAAGUGAGUCUCAUUAUAAAUGUUUUAUUGACCACUACUAGGGCACCGAGGCAUGUGAGGCAUGCUUAUGUGAUAUGUUUGGCAUUGCGGGUGUUACUUCCUGGGUGAUUGCAAAGGUAGAUAGGGGAUGGGCCUUUGGUGAUCACGGGAGGGCGGACCACUCGACUAUGCCCUUGUUAUGAUUAUUGGCGCUGUCGGGUGGGAGACUUCUUGGGUGAUCAUAGGGGUUGUUAGGGGAUGGGCCUCUAGUGGUCAUGAGAGGAUGGUCCACUCGCCGGUGUCGAUUUCAUAUUGGCCACUUGAUUAUUGAUAUUGAUAUUAUGCAGAGCUCUAUCCGGUGCAUAGUAGGUGGGUCAAGGGCCCAAUGAAAUGAAAGAUUUCAAGUGAAAUGAUUUCUAGUCGACUUUGACGAAUAUUGAAAUAUGAUAUUUUUAUCGUGAUAUUUAAAGUAAAUGGCAUGGUGUCAUAUGUUGUUAUUACUCAUGUUCAGGACAUGCAUGAUUUUGCUUACUAAGCAUUGGCUUAUGUAGUUCUUGCAUUGUAGGUGAACAUGGAACUACAUAGAGAGCAUGGCUAGCUGUGGAGCUCCUACAGGAUUCCAGAGUUCGAUGUACAUGGAUGACGACCUGUAGGGUUAUUUUGUAGGCUACCAUCUGUUGGGUUAUAUUUUGGAAUCCUAUAUAGUGUACUUUUGAAAUGGCCUGUAGACAUGUU